UGUAUAAUGGGUCAGCGACUUAUAUUCUGUAGCAAGGUUAACCGAAUAGGGGAGCCGAAGGGAAACCGAGUCUUAACUGGGCGUUAAGUUGCAGGGUAUAGACCCGAAACCCGGUGAUCUAGCCAUGGGCAGGUUGAAGGUUGGGUAACACUAACUGGAGGACCGAACCGACUAAUGUUGAAAAAUUAGCGGAUGACUUGUGGCUGGGGGUGAAAGGCCAAUCAAACCGGGAGAUAGCUGGUUCUCCCCGAAAGCUAUUUAGGUAGCGCCUCGUGAAUUCAUCUCCGGGGGUAGAGCACUGUUUCGGCAAGGGGGUCAUCCCGACUUACCAACCCGAUGCAAACUGCGAAUACCGGAGAAUGUUAUCACGGGAGACACACGGCGGGUGCUAACGUCCGUCGUGAAGAGGGAAACAACCCAGACCGCCAGCUAAGGUCCCAAAGUCAUGGUUAAGUGGGAAACGAUGUGGGAAGGCCCAGACAGCCAGGAUGUUGGCUUAGAAGCAGCCAUCAUUUAAAGAAAGCGUAAUAGCUCACUGGUCGAGUCGGCCUGCGCGGAAGAUGUAACGGGGCUAAACCAUGCACCGAAGCUGCGGCAGCGACGCUUAUGCGUUGUUGGGUAGGGGAGCGUUCUGUAAGCCUGCGAAGGUGUGCUGUGAGGCAUGCUGGAGGUAUCAGAAGUGCGAAUGCUGACAUAAGUAACGAUAAAGCGGGUGAAAAGCCCGCUCGCCGGAAGACCAAGGGUUCCUGUCCAACGUUAAUCGGGGCAGGGUGAGUCGACCCCUAAGGCGAGGCCGAAAGGCGUAGUCGAUGGGAAACAGGUUAAUAUUCCUGUACUUGGUGUUACUGCGAAGGGGGGACGGAGAAGGCUAUGUUGGCCGGGCGACGGUUGUCCCGGUUUAAGCGUGUAGGCUGGUUUUCCAGGCAAAUCCGGAAAAUCAAGGCUGAGGCGUGAUGACGAGGCACUACGGUGCUGAAGCAACAAAUGCCCUGCUUCCAGGAAAAGCCUCUAAGCAUCAGGUAACAUCAAAUCGUACCCCAAACCGACACAGGUGGUCAGGUAGAGAAUACCAAGGCGCUUGAGAGAACUCGGGUGAAGGAACUAGGCAAAAUGGUGCCGUAACUUCGGGAGAAGGCACGCUGAUAUGUAGGUGAAGCGACUUGCUCGUGGAGCUGAAAUCAGUCGAAGAUACCAGCUGGCUGCAACUGUUUAUUAAAAACACAGCACUGUGCAAACACGAAAGUGGACGUAUACGGUGUGACGCCUGCCCGGUGCCGGAAGGUUAAUUGAUGGGGUUAGCGCAAGCGAAGCUCUUGAUCGAAGCCCCGGUAAACGGCGGCCGUAACUAUAACGGUCCUAAGGUAGCGAAAUUCCUUGUCGGGUAAGUUCCGACCUGCACGAAUGGCGUAAUGAUGGCCAGGCUGUCUCCACCCGAGACUCAGUGAAAUUGAACUCGCUGUGAAGAUGCAGUGUACCCGCGGCAAGACGGAAAGACCCCGUGAACCUUUACUAUAGCUUGACACUGAACAUUGAGCCUUGAUGUGUAGGAUAGGUGGGAGGCUUUGAAGUGUGGACGCCAGUCUGCAUGGAGCCGACCUUGAAAUACCACCCUUUAAUGUUUGAUGUUCUAACGUUGGCCCCU
rnacentral:rRNA from 1 species